rnacentral:rRNA from 1 species
ACGGGAGGCAGCAGUGAGGAAUAUUGGUCAAUGGGCGAGAGCCUGAACCAGGCAAGUAGCGUGAAGGAUGACUGCCCUAUGGGUUGUAAACUGCUUUUAGUUGGGAAUAAAAGAAGCGACGUGUCGCUUAUUGUAUGUACCAUCAGAAAAAGGACCGGCUAAUUCCGUGCCAGCAGCCGCGGUAAUACGGAAGGUCCGGGCGUUAUCCGGAUUUAUUGGGUUUAAAGGGAGCGUAGGCGGGUUUUUAAGUCAGUGGUAAAAUCGUGCGGCUCAAACGUACCUCGCCAUUGAAACUGGAAGCCUUGAGUGCACACAGGGAUGCUGGAAUUCGUCGUGUAGCGGUGAAAUGCUUAGAUAUGACGAAGAACUCCGAUCGCGAAGGCAGGUGUCCGGGGUGUAACUGACGCUGAGGCUCGAAAGUGCGGGUAUCAAACAGGAUUAGAUACCCUGGUA